rnacentral:rRNA from 1 species
AGCAGCCGCGGUAAUUCCAGCUCCAAUAGCGUAUAUUAAAGUUGUUGCAGUUAAAAAGCUCGUAGUUGAAUUUCGGGAUUAAUAUGUUGGUCGUGCCUUGGUACGUACUGGCAUUAUUGAUUCCUACCUUCUGAAGAACCUCGAUGUCAUUAAUUUGGUGUCUUGGGGAAUCAGGACCGUUACUUUGAAAAAAUUAGAGUGUUUAAAGCAGGCUCGCGCUUGAAUACAUUAGCAUGGAAUAAUGAAAUAGGACGUUUGAUUCUAUUUUGUUGGUUUCUAGGAUCGACGUAAUGAUUAAUAGGGAUAGUUGGGGGCAUUAGUAUUCAAUUGUCAGAGGUGAAAUUCUUGGAUUUAUUGAAGACUGACUACUGCGAAAGCAUUUGCCAAGGAUGUUUUCAUUAAUCAAGAACGAAAGUUAGGGGAUCGAAGACGAUCAGAUACCGUCGUAGU